rnacentral:rRNA from 1 species
AAUCAACGCUGGCGGCGUGCCUCAGACAUGCAAGUCGAACGAUUAAAGCUCUCUUCGGAGAGUGCAUAGAGUGGCGCACGGGUGAGUAACACGUAAGUAAUCUACCCUCGAGUGGGGAAGUAACGUCCGGAACGGACGCUAAUACGCAUAAUGCAGCGGCACCGCAAGGUGACAGUUGUUAAAGAUUUAUUCGCUUGAGGAGGAGCUUGCGGCAGAUAGUCUAGUU